rnacentral:tRNA from 1 species
GGGGGUAGAUGGGUCCUGGUGGGCCCUCCGGUCUUCAAAACCGGCGAAUGGGGUUCGGAGCCUCAUUGGUGUGUUCGAUUCGCACGUACUCCC